ACCACCUGGUGGCCAACGCACUUUGACAAAGAGGGUAAAGACGAGCGCGAGCCCAAAGACGAGAGCGCCGACGAGCGGCUGAGACGGCGAGCGUAUGAGCGAGGCUGCCAGAGACUGAAGAAGAGGAUCGAAGUGGUUGAAGAGUUGCAGGUUCAGAUCCUGAAGUUGUUGCUCAAUAACAAAGACAAAUCCACAGGUGAAGCCUCUCGAUACAUUUUCCUCAAUAAGUUCAGGAAGUUUCUGCAGGAGAACGCCAGCAACAGAGGGGUGAGGACCAAACACACACACACCUGCUUAAAUUUCAUUUUUAAUUUAUUCCACAUUAAGACGGCACACACCACGGAGGACGUGAUCACAGUAAACUCACAUACUUACCAGACUGUUUCAUGUCCAUCACAAGCACCAACAAGUGCAUAUUCAGUGGUAAUAUUACUUCACAGAGUGUACUUAUUAAUUCAGCAUAUACCUCCCGCUGCCGGGAAACACAC